CUGAUCACAAAGGGGAGCCCAAAAGGCUGAGAAUGAGUUUACUCUAAACCCUUCGUACCUGUUUCGAUCAUUCGAGCGUAGGAAUUGUGACGAGUUGAAGU
rnacentral:ncRNA from 2 species